GUUGUGCAAUAAUCUGAACAAAAUGUCGGCCACAAUCAAGUUUCUGUCCGUUUUCUAUCUGUGUGUGGUGCUGGGCGCAGUAUUUGCGAAGCACGUCGCGCCUGAUUCUAAGCCCGUGUCUCAUCAUGUUGCUGACAGUGGUGCCAAUACAAUCGUUAUAUUAUAUUUGAAUGAUUUUGCAACACAGGGUGUAAAUAACAACAAUCAUAAUCGAUUUAAAAGGAACCCAUGGAUACAAAAGUGGGUAGAUCCUAUGGACGAACAGGUGAAAGACAGAGAAAUGGAACGUUACGCACUCAACUGGUAAUAAUCAGACUACAUGCUUGGAACACCUGGUGGGCUGGUGGUGGACGAGGAAGCAGCCAACGUUGGACAUCAGAAAUUAUAACGACCUUCGCAUGCAUAAAUACUAAUAUAUUAAGCUUUUGUUUUGUUUGUGUUUUUGUCUCAAUAAAAGUUUGUGUGGUUUCA